CCAAAAGAAAAAUGUAAAUCAUGAACCUGAAAUUAACAAACUUGACUUAACAGAGUCAAAAAUAUGUAUGUCCGAUUCAGAUGACCAAAGUAGCUCUAACGAUACUAUCUAUACUAAACUUAAAUAUAAUAUAUCAAAACCAUAUGAUGAAAAUUGUGAUUUAGAUAGUGAAAAACUGAAACAUGAUAACUCAGUUAAUGUUCAUUCUUCUUCUUUAAGUUCUAAAAAGAGGAAAACCUUUCAAUCAAAGGAUAAGAAAGCAUGCAAUAAUCAAAUUAUAAAUAAAUUUGUUCAAAGAAAGUCAUCAUCAACAUCUGACUCAGAGAGUAGUAGUAAUGAAAAUAUAAUACUACCAGUAAAAGACUUAGACCAAAAGAAAAAUGUAAAUCGUGAACCUGAUAGUGACAAACUUGGCUUGACAGAGUCAAGAAGAAGUAUAAAUGAUUCAAAUGACCAAAGUAGCUCUGAUGAUGUCAUCUAUACUAAACUCAAACAUAGUAUAUCAAAACCAGAUGAUAAAAAACUUAAACUAGAUAACUCUGUCGAUAUUCAAUAUUCUAAUUUAACUACUAAAAAGAAGAAAACUUUUAAAUCAAAUGAUAAGAAAGAUUUCAAAAAUCAAAUUAUAAAUAAAGUUAUUCAAAGGCAGUCAACAUCAACAUCUGAUUCAGAGAGUAGUAGUAAUGAAAAUAUUAUACAACCAGUAAAAAACUUAGACCAAAAGAAAAAUUUAAAUUAUGCACUUAAAAUUAACGAAGUUGACUUAACUGAGUCAAAAAUAAGUAUAAUAACAGAUGCCGAUGACCAGAGUAGCUCUGAUGAUGACAUGUAUAUAAAACAUAAACAUGAUGUAUUAAAACAAGUAAAUAGAAAACCUUAUAUUACAAAUCAAAGUUAUAAUAAAGUUAACUAUUUAAAUGGUGUAAAUGAUUCAUUAUCAUACUUUGUUCAUGAUGAAUACACACCAUCCUCAAAAUUAAUUAAUUCAAAUAUAAAAGAAAGUUUUAUUAAAAUAGCUGAAAUUGACACAGUUAAGAUUGAUAAAUUACCAAUCGAAAAAACAUCAAAAAAGAAUAAAAAACAAAAAAGUAGCAAGUGUACACUUUUGAAAUCACCAAAGGAUAAUAAAUCUUUAAUAGAUUUAAUGAAAAUAACAAAUAAUAAAGAUAUACUAAUUAAGAAAAUUUUGGAAGAAGAUUAUAAUAGUAGUAAUAGUAGUGUUGGUACAGACAAUGAGUUAGAAUUUUUAAAAAAAAACGUGGAAAAACAAAGAUUAAAUAAAAUUAAGAAUGCCAAAUUACAAGAGAUAUCUAUUGAGAAUACCUCCAACAAACAAAGUAAAACUGUACAAAAAUUGGAUAGUAAAAUAACAAAACAUCAGAUCGCAACCUUGGGUAUAACAGAUGAUUUAUCAAGUAGAAAAAGGAAAAGAUCCGGGGAACUUACCAAAGAUUUACUUUUGGACAGUGUAUUAAAUUCCUUACAAGAUUCUUCAAGUUGUCAUUCUCCUACAGAAAAGAAAAGUAAUGUUCAUAAUUCAAUAAUGAAAACAAAUAAUUUAACUGAAUACAUAAAUUAUAAUAAAAGUUCAUCCGAGGUUAAGAAGAAGAAAAAAUCUAAACACUGUGAGGAUAUUAUUAAUGUAAAUGAUUUAAUUGUGAAGAACAAUAUAAAUCAAAUAAAUGAUUCACUUGAUAAAUUAAAAUACCAAAAUCUGUUAGUACAAGAAAAAGAUUCAUCCGAAGGAUUGGAAAAAAAUAAACACUUAAAAAGUGAUUCAAUUCAAUGUGAUACUGAUAUUACAAUUAAUGAUAAAUUAGGUAGAAUAAACAACAAACCGGUAAAUAUAAAUCUACAAUAUACAAAUAUUAAAUCCAGUAAAAAACAAAGUAAGAUAUUUAGCGCAGAUCAAAUUAAAAAUAUUAUAUCAAUUCAAGAUACAAAUAUGAUUAAUAAUUUAGAUAAUUUGUACCGU